GUGUUAGGUUGUUGAAUUCAGCAUCAUCCCCUCAGUUGUUGAAAUCAGCAGUAAAACUCCAAUGUAGCAAUUAUGCAACUUUGUUUUCCGGUGAAAAGAUGGAGAGAUGUCUGUGUAAUGUUGAUUAUCAUUUUUCUCUAGAGCUGUUAUGUUUUUAAGGCAGCUGAUCAGCUCUAGGAGCAGAAUGUAUUAUAUCAUUUUUCUUCCAAGAUAAACAUUUUUCUUUGUGUAUUGUCAUGUGGAAAUUGAGUAUUGUAUCUUUUUAAACUUUGUGAAUGUGAAACAGGAGAAGUAAAUAAAUGUGUCCUUUUACUAGAGACGGG
rnacentral:lncRNA from 1 species